rnacentral:snRNA from 1 species
UUCCCAGCUUUGCCAACUGGCUUAGAUCAAGUGUAGUAUCUGUUCUUUUCAGUUUAAUCUCUGAAAUGACACCACGUGUGUCUGACUUUGAUUAAAUUUAUUUUUGCACGCCGCUCGAGACUCUCUGUGCUUGCACGGAGCAUCUCGAGCACCGUGUCCGAGGCCUCACACUGCCGCCUUGUGACGCGAACAAAA